AUUGAACGCUGGCGGCAGGCCUAACACAUGCAAGUCGAGCGGAUGAAGGGAGCUUGCUCCUGGAUUCAGCGGCGGACGGGUGAGUAAUGCCUAGGAAUCUGCCUGGUAGUGGGGGAUAACGUCCGGAAACGGGCGCUAAUACCGCAUACGUCCUGAGGGAGAAAGUGGGGGAGCUUCGGACCUCACGCUAUCAGAUGAGCCUAGGUCGGAUUAGCUAGUUGGUGGGGUAAAGGCCUACCAAGGCGACGAUUGGUAACUGGUCUGAGAGGAUGAUUAGUCGCACUGGAACUUAGACACGGUCCAGAGGCCUACGGGAGGCAGCAGUGGGGAAUAGUGGACAAUGGGGGAAAGCCUGGUCCAGUCGUGCCGCGUGUGUGAAGAAGGUGUUCGGAUUGUAAAGCACUUUAAGUUGGGAGGAAGCGCAGUAAGUUAAUACCUUGCUGUUUUGACGUUACCAACAGAAUAAGCACCGGCUAACUUCGUG
rnacentral:rRNA from 1 species